CACGUAGGCUGCAAGCGUUGUUCGGAAUCAUUGGGCGUAAAGCGCGUGUAGGCGGCCAGCUAAGUCUGGUGUGAAAGCCCGGGGCUUAACCCCGGAAGGGCACUGGAUACUGACUGGCUAGAGGACGGGAGAGGAUGGUGGAAUUCCUGGUGUAGGGGUGAAAUCCGUAGAUAUCAGGAGGAACAUCUGUUGCGAAGGCGGCCAUCUGGCCCGUAUCUGACGCUGAGACGCGAAAGCGUGGGGAGCAAACAGG
rnacentral:rRNA from 1 species